AAACUCCCGGGAACUUGAGGUAGGCUCAGUAGAUGCGAAUUGAACGGUAUCUCACAUCCACCAGCCUAGCUCGCAUUCCCAGAGUUUACGGUAUUGUU
rnacentral:pre_miRNA from 15 species